UGCAAGCUGAAGAUAUGUGACUUGGGCUUGCUCGUGCAUCAUUUUAUGAUGCCCCCUCUACAAUUUUUUGGACUGAUUAUGUGGCAACUCGAUGGUACUGUGCUCCCGAACUCUGUGGUUCAUUUUUCUCCAAGUACACGCCUGCUAUUGAUAUAUGGAGCAUUGGAUGCAUAUUUGCAGAAAUGCUAACAGGAAAAGCCUU